CCGGAAUUAUGGCCCCGGCAGGCUACGCCGUCCCCGGCUGGAAAACCGGCGACUGGAUCUGCUCCAUAGUUGGAUGCGGCAUGCAUAAUUAUGCUAGCAGGAUGGAGUGCUAUAAAUGCCACACGCCUAAAGAUUAUGGAGGAGCAAUGUGAGGAUUAUCACUGGAUCACACCUAGUGACUGCAACUUUUUUUUUUUUUUUUCUCUCGGAUUUUUGUCUUCAUUUGUUUUUCUUCCUUUCUUAGUAGGAUUUAG